AGCAGAGAUCGGGUUCUUCACUAAAAAAUCAACAAAAUUUAAUUGCAAAUACUAACUUUAGUAUUGGUGAGAAAUCCAGA
rnacentral:sRNA from 1 species